CGAUUGGAGGAGGGGCCACACUCGGGUGACCUUGGAUAUUUAGUACGAAGGCUCCCCAGCGCUGCCUCUCUCCCACUCUGG